AGGAUAAACGCUGGCGGCGUGCCUUACGCAUGCAAGUCGAACGGUGUCCUUCGGGGCACAGUGGCGGACGGGUGAGUAACACGUACGUAACCUGCCGAUUUGUGGGGGAUACCGGUCCGAAAGGGUCGCUAAUACCGCAUACGUUCGCCCCGCGAGGGGUGAGGAAAGGGCUUCGGCCCGCAGAUUGAGGGGCGUGCGGCCGAUUAGCUUGUUGGUGGGGUAACGGCCUACCAAGGCGAUGAUCGGUAGCUGGGCUGAGAGGCCGAGCAGCCACACUGGGACUGAGACACGGCCCAGACUCCUACGGGAGGCAGCAGCGAGGAAUUUGCGCAAUGGGCGAAAGCCUGACGCAGCAACGCCGCGUGGGUGAGGAAGGCCUUCGGGUCGUAAAGCCCUUUUGUCGGGGACGAAUACUGACGGUACCGACGAAGAAGCCACGGCUAACUACGUGCCAGCAGCCGC
rnacentral:rRNA from 1 species